UAAAAACGCUGUACAAAAUAUCGCUGUAUAAGAGGUGCUGUAUAAUUUUUUGAACAGCACAUGUUUAAGCUUUGAUAAAUAUCGGUAUAAAACACGGCGAAUUGACCUGUUUAAGGUCCGUAGACAGAAGGCUUGAACAGGGGGUUGUACAAGAUACCGGCACAUGUAAAGCGCAUGCGUACGCGUGCGCAGUGCUAUGCUAGUGGUCGGAAGAUGGCGUUGAGUAUGUUCGACUCGGAGACUGCUGCAGUGCACUGGAAAAAUCGUGUUUAAUCUCCGUUUUAGAAAAUGAAAGAUUUGGGGGUGACAAACCUGCUUCAGGAGUGGGACUUCCCACAUUUAGUUCCAAUCUUUAGAGUUAAAUGUUGCAGAAGAUGAGCACGAAGAAGACACCUACUGGAUGCAAUAUUACUCAUCACCUGACAACAUUGUUGUUAAUGUGACGAACCUCGGUACCGAGAUAUGAGUUGACUAGAGGAAACCCGCGACCAAGCACAGCAGAAAUUCUUGACAAAUAUCUACAGCUUUUGGGAAUGAUUGAUCAAGACUUUGAUUUAACAAUUGAUGCAGCUCCUGGUGCCCUUUUCACAAUGUGGCCAAAGUUGUCCAGGCAGACUUUGGAAUUUGCGGAGAAGAUUAAUCCAGGGUAUAGAAAGAUCCUAGGGGCUGGAGUGGACCAGAAAAUGACGCAGAGUCAACAAUGAAGAAAAAUU